GCAUCAGUUUGGUUUGCUUGCAAACCAAAGCUGGCGACCGGCGCACGGGUGAGUAACACGUAUCCAACCUGCCUCAUACUCGGGGAUAGCCUUUCGAAAGAAAGAUUAAUAUCCGAUAGCAUAUAUUUCCCGCAUGGGUUUUAUAUUAAAGAAAUUCGGUAUGAGAUGGGGAUGCGUUCCAUUAGUUUGUUGGCGGGGUAACGGCCCACCAAGACUACGAUGGAUAGGGGUUCUGAGAGGAAGGUCCCCCACAUUGGAACUGAGACACGGUCCAAACUCCUACGGGAGGCAGCAGUGAGGAAUAUUGGUCAAUGGACGCGAGUCUGAACCAGCCAAGUAGCGUGAAGGAUGACUGCCCUAUGGGUUGUAAACUUCUUUUAUAUGGGAAUAAAGUGGUCCACGUGUGGAUUUUUGUAUGUACCAUAUGAAUAAGGAUCGGCUAACUCCGUGCCAGCAGCCGCGGUAAUACGGAGGAUCCGAGCGUUAUCCGGAUUUAUUGGGUUUAAAGGGAGCGUAGGCGGAUUGUUAAGUCAGUUGUGAAAGUUUGCGGCUCAACCGUAAAAUUGCAGUUGAUACUGGCAGUCUUGAGUGCAGUAGAGGUGGGCGGAAUUCGUGGUGUAGCGGUGAAAUGCUUAGAUAUCACGAAGAACUCCGAUUGCGAAGGCAGCUCACUGGAGUGUAACUGACGCUGAUGCUCGA
rnacentral:rRNA from 1 species